rnacentral:rRNA from 1 species
GAUGAACGCUGGCGGCGUGCCUAAUACAUGCAAGUCGAGCGAACAGACGAGGAGCUUGCUCCUCUGACGUUAGCGGCGGGCGGGUGAGUAACACGUGGAUAACCUACCUAUAAGACUGGGAUAACUUCGGGAAACCGGAGCUAAUACCGGAUAAUAUAUUGAACCGCAUGGUUCAAUAGUGAAAGACGGUUUUGCUGUCACUUAUAGAUGGAUCCGCGCCGCAUUAGCUAGUUGGUAAGGUAACGGCUUACCAAGGCAACGAUGCGUAGCCGACCUGAGAGGGUGACAGGCCCCACGGGACCGAAACCCGGGCCCGGCCACCGACGGAAGGCAGCAGGAGGGAAGCUUCAGGAAUGGGGGAAAGCCUGCCGGAACAAGCCCGGGGGGGGGAAGAAGGUCUGCGGUUCGAAAACCCUUUUUAUUGGGGAAGAACAAAAGGGGAGGUAACGAUGCGCGUUUGGAGGUACCCAAAUAAGAAGGCCCGGCCAAAUUCGGG